UGUUGGCUUAAGUGCCCUAACGAGCGCAACCCCUGCUGCCAGUUACACGUGNCUGGCGGGACUGCCGGUCACAAGCCGGAGGAAGGCGGGGAUGACGUCAAGUCAGCAUGGCCUUUAUGCCUGGGGCUACACACACGCUACAAUGGGACGGCACAAUGGGUAGCCAAGCCGCGAGGCGGAGCCAAUCCUCAAAACGUCCCUCAGUUCAGAUUGCAGGCUGCAACCCGCCUGCAUGAAGUCGGAGUUGCUAGUAACCGCGCGUCAGCCAUAGUGCGGUGAAUACGUUCCCGGGUCUUGUACACACCGCCCGUCACACUAUGGGAGCUGGCUACACCUAAAGCCGGCAGCCUAACCGCAAGGGGGGCGCCGUCAAAGGUGGGGCUGGUGACUGGAGUGAAGUCGUAACAAGGUAGC
rnacentral:rRNA from 1 species